rnacentral:rRNA from 1 species
GAUGAACGCUAGCGGCAGGCUUAAUACAUGCAAGUCAAGGGGGUAGCAAUACAACCGGCGCACGGGUGAGUAACGCGUACACAACAUACCAUAUACUGGAGUAUAGCUUUGGGAAACUGAAGGUAAUCCUCCAUAACAUUGCGAGAGGGCAUCUGAUUGCAAUUAAAGUUUCGGCGGUAUAUGAUUGGUGUGCGUUUGAUUAGCUAGUUGGUAGGGUAACGGCCUACCAAGGCGACGAUCAAUAGCUGGCGUGAGAGCGCGACCAGCCACACUGGAACUGAGACACGGUCCAGACUCCUACGGGAGGCAGCAGUAGGGAAUAUUGGACAAUGGAGGAAACUCUGAUCCAGCCAUGCCGCGUGAUAGAUGAAGGCCCUCUGGGUUGUAAAUAUCUUUUUAUCUGGGAAGAAACACUCCUAUUCUUAGGAACUUGACGGUACCAGAGGAAUAAGCACGGCUAACUCCGUGCCAGCAGCCGCGGUAAAGUAGUCG